UUAAAUGGGUUGACACGAACCCGAUACGAAAUUUAAAUGGGUUAGGUUAAGGUUGAAAAUCCCAACCCGAAAAUGACCCACAACCCGAAAACAUUUAAGUUAUUAUAAAAAAAAAAAAAAAAAAACUUUCAGCCCUGCCCAAAUUCGAAUAAAGCCCCCUUAUAAAGUCAAAAACCCUAAAAUUUCCUAUUCUCUUUCAUUUUCUCUCAGCCGUCACCUGCCUUCUUUCUCUCUCUUAAACUUCCUCUCUCUUUAACCCCUAAAAUCCUCGUUAUUGUUGUUCAAACACUAAAAUCCUCUUCUAUCGUUGAAUAUUUUUACAUCAUUCUAUGCCUCCUGAUAUUGUACACAUCACUAAGCCUCUUCCUAGCCUCUCCUUUGUCUAUCCAAGUAAGUAGCGGCCAAUCAAAUCCAUCUCAAAGAGGAGAAGAUAAAUUACACCAUGAAGGAUGGGCAAAACAAAGAGAAUUAAAGAUUGUAAAAAUCAGUGUAGCUUUUGAAAUUCAAUUUGUUAUUCGUUAAUUAGAUUUGGUUUGUUAUCCUUUAUGUACAUUUAUUAGACUAUUUUGUUUAAGAUUGAAUUUUGUUUUUC